CACCUCUCAAAGUUUACUCUUUGGCGUUGGGCAACGCCUAAAGGCAUGCCUCAAAAUCAGCGAUGGUGAUAUUCAACCACAGGCGCACAAACGUCGUCUAGCUGGCGGGAUGUUGUCAAUUGAUGAAUUUCUAAA
rnacentral:misc_RNA from 1 species